rnacentral:rRNA from 1 species
CGCAAGACCAAAGAGGGGGACCCCCGGGCCCCUCACUAUCGGAUGAACCCAGAUGGGAUUAGCUAGUAGGCGGGGUAAUGGCCCACCUAGGCGACGAUCCCUAGCUGGUCUGAGAGGAUGACCAGCCACACUGGAACUGAGACACGGUCCAGACUCCUACGGGAGGCAGCAGUGGGGAAUAUUGCACAAUGGGCGCAAGCCUGAUGCAGCCAUGCCGCGUGUAUGAAGAAGGCCUUCGGGUUGUAAAGUACUUUCAGCGGGGAGGAAGGCGAUGAGGUUAAUAACCUUACCGAUUGACGUUACCCGCAGAAGAAGCACCGGCUAACUCCGUGCCAGCAGCCGCGGUAAUACGGAGGGUGCAAGCGUUAAUCGGAAUUACUGGGCGUAAAGCGCACGCAGGCGGUCUGUUAAGUCAGAUGUGAAAUCCCCGGGCUUAACCUGGGAACUGCAUUUGAAACUGGCAGGCUUGAGUCUUGUAGAGGGGGGUAGAAUUCCAGGUGUAGC